GUCCCUGUAGUGCAAUGGAUAGUGUGUUGGACUUCUAAUCCAAAGGUGGUGGUUUCGAAUGCCACCUGGGAUG
rnacentral:tRNA from 1 species